rnacentral:rRNA from 1 species
GUGUCAGCCGCCGCGGUAAUACGAACUGUGCGAACGUUAUUCGGAAUCACUGGGCUUAAAGGGUGCGUAGGCGGUUUUCUAAGUCAGGUGUGAAAUCUUCCGGCUCAACCGGAAAACUGCGCCUGAUACUGGAGGACUGGAGUGAGGCAGGGGUGUGUGGAACUUCCGGUGGAGCGGUGAAAUGUGUAGAUAUCGGAAGGAACGCCAGCAGCGAAAGCGGCACACUGGGCCUUUUCUGACGCUGAGGCACGAAAGCCAGGGGAGCGAACGGGAUUAGAUACCCCCGUAGUCC